GGAGAGGUACUCAAGCUGGUUAAGAGGACAGUUUGCUAAACUGUUAGGCCGUAAGGCGCGUGGGUUCGAGCCCCACUCUCUCCGCCA
rnacentral:tRNA from 1 species